rnacentral:rRNA from 1 species
CCUACGGGUGUCAGCAGUGGGGAAUAUUGCGCAAUGGGCGAAAGCCUGACGCAGCGACGCCGCGUGAGGGAUGAAGGUCUUCGGAUCGUAAACCUCUGUUAGCAGGGAAGAACGGUCACUGUGCUAAUCAGCAGUGAAUUGACGGUACCUGCAAGCGAAGCACCGGCUAACUCCGUGCCAGCAGCGGCGGUAAUACGGAGGGUGCGAGCGCUAAUCGGAAUUACUGGGCGUAAAGCGCUCGUAGGCGGGAUGUCAAGGCAAGGGUGAAAUCCCCGGGCUCAACGUGGGAACUGCCUUUGAAACUGGCAGUCUGGAGUGUGUGAGAGGAUAGUGGAAUUCCCGGUGUAGGGGUGAAAGGCGUAGAUAUCUGGAGGAACACCAGUGGCGAAGGCGACUAUCUGGCACCUAACUGACGCUGAGGAGCGAAAGCGUGGGUAGCAAACAGGAUUAGAUACCCUUGUAGUC